rnacentral:lncRNA from 1 species
CUUUGCUUUACAACUAGUGGAUUAAAACAUACCUACUUCAUUGGAUUACAACAAAUGGCACCCGGUGAGAGCUUUGUAGGUGCUACAAGGAAUUGUUUGCAACUUGUGUGCGAAUUCAUUAUCAUCGACAAUAGUUGGAUGUUUCAAAAUAGUAGCUUAGUACUUUUCAUUUAUCUUUAUGCUACUGCUACAUUGUAUUUGGUAGGAAUAACCAUUGGCUUUCUUUGUUUGAUUUAUUUCUCUUUUACUUGAACAUUGUGUAACUUUUUCCCAGUUUAGGAAUUAUUAUAUAUAACAGCUACUAGGUGAAUAACUUAGUAGUAUAUUUGCUUUUAAAAUAAACUACCCUUCCAACCCCUAUUUUUUAAAAUUUUCUUUUAGUAUUAGGCUUGGGCCAGAGGCCAACAGGCCCAAAAUCAAGGUCUAGCCCACCAAUCCUUUCUCAACUCACCCCCUAAUCUAGUGAGUCUGCCAAGACCAGGUCCAAUUCCAAACAAAUCCCAAGCGGCCAAACAAACUAGAUGUCGAAAUUCAAAAUUGAAAACUAAGUAAACCACUUUGAAAUUGAAACAAAUUCUAGAACUACAAUCUAUACUAGCAUAUGCAAAUAAUUGAGCAAUUAAAGUUACCUUAAAACUUGCAAUUACUAAUUGAAAUUACAGCAUGUAUUUAAUUAUCAAGCCACCUAAACACUAAUUGAUUCCAAAUUAUUGAUUAAACAUGCUCGGACAGAAUUCAUCGAGACACAUCAAUUAGAAAGAAUUAUACAGAAGGGGAGGAGUGUAUACCAAAUCUGCUAUACACCCGAUCAGCGUCAAAGAAAUGCGGUGAUUGUAAUGAAUUCUGGUGACGAUCAAUAGAACUCCGGUGAGCAAAGAGGAUUGUCACAUGAGCAUUGGCCGACAAAUGUUUAUGCGAUCCAGUGCUACAUGUAACAAUGCUCAUUACAAGCCGAAUUGAAGAAGAAAAGAUGAAGUUUGGGGAAGUUCGGCCUGUCUACGACGGUCAACGAUGUUUCGGCCACCGAAAAAUGGUAAAAAAAUGACCUCAAACGAAAGGUCUUUCCGAGACGUAUCAUUUGAUGUAAAAUUUAGGUAAAGAGGAGGUCGGGUUGAUAGUAAUUUAGCAAAGGGGCAAAAAAGUUGGGACUUUUAUUCCUAGGUCUUCUAAUCGGCAGGAUUGGGAGGUUUUUUGGGGGGAAAUGAUGUUGGAUUAAGGGUGAGGAGGUGGUGAGGAGUAUUUGAUAAUUUUUUGGGUGGAUUAGUGUUGAUCCGCCGCCGGAUGGCGAUUUUCGGGUAGUGGAAGACGGCGAAGUAAGGUGGCUAAUUUGAGAGAAUGAGAGAAUUGGGGGCAUCUAGGGUUUGGCAUAGUGGGGGGGCUG